GCCGCCUUCAACUUCCUCUUUAAUAGACUACUAAACACCCCCCUAAACCCAUUAGAUUUUCAUAACGAAUACAACACGAUCCUUCAGAUAGCUCAAAAUAACAACUACAAACCUACCCUCAUUAAUAACAUUUUUAAAAGAAUCAAGUACAAACAUUUGCUCAAAAACAUAUAUCCACAUCAUAAACACAGCAAUAAAUACAUAACCAUCCCAUACUACAAACACAUACAUACACACCUACAAAAAGCACUAAACCCCUACAACAUCACCCUCACUAACACCACACACCCUACAUUACAAAAAAUUCUAACCAACUACAAACCAAAGGAACCACAUCAUUUACAGUCAGGAAUAUACAAAAUCACAUGUAACGAUUGCAACUGCAUAUAUAUAGGACAAACCACAAGAAAAUUGCUAACAAGAUUCACCGAACACAACAAAAACAAACCACAUUCAGCAAUAGGUACCCACAUAAAUAACACAAAACACACAAUAUCAAUAGACAAUACAAAAAUUCUACACAAAACCAACAAUUACAAAAAAUUAACAAUACUAGAACACUAUGAAAUUCACAAAGCGUUACAAGAUCCUAAUUUCAAAUUAAUAAAUGACAUAACUGAAUUCAAUGAUAAUCAUCUUUAUAAAUACGUUGCCCAUUCACAUAACACGCCACUGCCUCAUACAUAACCUCACAUACUGAUACACACACACACUACACUUAAAACAUCGCUCACCCAUACAUUCAAUUUUAUAUAAAAAUAUGGACAUUACAUCAUACAUUUCCAUCUUGUUAAAAAAUGUAAUUCAGUAGACGGUAAGAUAGAUUUUG